rnacentral:tRNA from 1 species
GCGCGAGUGGUGUAGCUUGGCCGAUCACGCGGCCUCGCCAGGGCCGAGACGAGCGUUCGAAUCGUUCCUCGCGCA